AUGCUGCAGACAAUUGACGAGAGUGAAUCGUGUCUUUUCUCAGAUGGAGUUUCGGGACGUGACCGGCUCCUGGCUCAGCAAAGAAUGCACAGCAUGAUCAGCUCAGUGGACGUGAAGUCAGAAAUACCAGUGGGGUUAGAACCGAUCACACCAUUAGACUUGCGAACAGAUCUCAAGAUGAUGGUUCCCAUGGUGGACCCCAUUCUGCGGGAAAAGCAGCUGCAGCAGGAGCUGCUACUCAUCCAGCAGCAGCAGCAAAUUCAGAAACAGCUCCUGAUCGCGGAAUUUCAGAAACAGCACGAGAACCUGACCCGACAGCACCAAGCACAGAUCCAGGAGCAUAUAAAGUUACAACAGGAACUCUUGGCCAUUAAGCAACAACAAGAACUCCUUGAAAAAGAGCAGGAGCUGGAGCAACAGAGGCAAGAGCAGGAGCUGGAGAGGCAUCGCAAUCAGCAGCUUCCUCCAAUCAGAAGCAAAGAAAGAAGCCGAGAAAGGGCAGUGGCCAGUACAGAAGUGAAGCAGAAACUUCAGGAGUUCCUAUUGAAUAAAUCAGCAACAAAAGACUCUCCAGCCAAUGGGAAGAACCAUUCCGUUAGCCGACAUCCUAAACUUUGGUACACGGCUGCCCACCAUACCUCAUUGGAUCAAAGUUCUCCACCACUUAGUGCAACAUCUCCUUCCUACAAAUACACAUUACCAGGAGCACAAGAUGCCAGGGAUGAUUUCCCACUUCGCAAAACGGCCUCAGAGCCCAACUUGAAAGUUCGCUCCAGGUUAAAACAAAAAGUAACAGAAAGGAGAAGCAGCCCUCUACUCAGGCGGAAGGAUGGAACAGUUGUUGGCACAUUCAAGAAGAGACUGUUUGAAGUUACAGAAUCAUCAGUCAGUAGCAGUUCCCCAGGAUCAGGUCCUGGGUCACCCAGUAAUGGUCCCACUGGAAAUGCAGAAAAUGAAACCCCAGUGUUACCAUCUAAUUCCCAAGCUGAGCGUCUGGUUCCUCAACAACACAUUCGUAUGAAUGAUGAAUCAAUGAGCCUUCUGAGUCUCUAUACAUCACCUUCUUUGCCCAACAUCACUUUGGGACUUCCUGCAGUUCAGCCUCAACUCACUGCUUCAUCUUCCUCAUUCAAAGAAAAACAGAAGUGUGAAACUCAGACAAUCAGACCAGGGGUGGUUUUACCUGGACAGUACAGGGGAAGCAUCUCUUCACCUGCAGCCCCUCAGCCCAUCGUUCUGGAGGGAAAGCCAAACAGCAGCCACCAGGCUCUUCUUCAGCAUCUGUUACUAAAAGAGCAAAUGAGACAGCAAAAACUCCUUGCUACAGGUGGUGUGCCUCUUCAUCCACAGUCACCUCUGGCAACAAAAGAAAGAGUCUCACCAGGCAUCAGAGGUGCACAGAAGCUGCCUCGGCAUAGACCUCUAAAUCGAACCCAGUCGGCUCCACUGCCUCAGAGCACGUUGGCUCAACUUGUAAUUCAGCAACAGCAUCAGCAGUUUCUGGAGAAGCAGAAACAAUACCAGCAACAGAUCCAUAUGAACAAAAUGCUUUCUAAAUCUAUUGAACAGUUAAAGCAGCCCAGCAGCCUAGAAGAAACGGAAGAGGAACUCCACGGAGAACAUCAUAUGCAGGAAGAAAGAGCGCCCUCUGUUUCCAGCAGCAUUAGGGAUGACAGCAGUAGUAUUUCUUUGGACGACAGACUGGAACAGCCUUUGAGGGCUGUGAAGGUGAAAGAAGAGCCUCGGGACAGUGAUGAUAUUCAAACACAGCAAAUGGAAUCUGGGGAGAAAGCUGCUUUUAUGCAACAGCAGAUAUUAGAGUGUCGCUGUAUCCAGCAAUUGCAAAUGUACCAGGCUCAGAUGGCUACAGUUGGGAUGGCGCAAUUUGAUAGAUGUCAGCCUGUUGCCAGGACGCAGUCUUCGCCAGCAACUCCAGCAUUACCUCAUCCAGCUGUGGAUCAACCCAAACAACACAGCCUCAUGACUGGUGUGGCGUACGACACACUAAUGUUGAAACACCAGUGCUUGUGUGGUAAUUACAACAACCACCCUGAGCAUGCCGGAAGAAUUCAAAGCAUCUGGUCAAGGCUGCAAGAAAGUGGGUUGCUAAACAAGUGUGAGCGGAUCCGAGGUCGAAAAGCCAGUUUGGAGGAAAUACAGCUGGUUCACUCUGAACAUCAUUCACUGCUGUAUGGCACCAGCCCCCUGAACAGACAGAAGCUGGACCCCAGGAAAAUUCUAGGAAAUGCACCUCGGAAGCUCUUUUCACUGCUGCCCUGUGGAGGACUUGGGGUGGACAGUGACACCAUUUGGAAUGAGCUGCAUUCGUCCGGUGCUGCACGCAUGGCUGUUGGCUGUGUCAUCAAGUUGGCUUCCAAAGUGGCCUCAGGAGAACUGAAGAAUGGCUUUGCUGUUGUAAGGCCCCCAGGCCAUCAUGCUGAAGAAUCAACAGCCAUGGGGUUCUGCUUUUUUAAUUCGGUUGCAAUUACUGCCAAAUACUUGAGAGACAAGCUAAAUAUAGGCAAGAUAUUGAUUGUAGAUCUGGAUGUUCACCAUGGCAACGGUACACAGCAGGCUUUUUAUGCUGACCCCAGCAUCCUGUAUGUCUCCCUCCAUCGCUAUGAUGAAGGCAACUUCUUUCCUGGCAGUGGAGCCCCAAAUGAGGUUGGAAGUGGCCCUGGUGAAGGUUAUAAUGUAAAUAUUGCUUGGACAGGUGGCCUGGAUCCCCCAGUGGGAGACGUCGAGUACCUUGAAGCAUACAGGACCGUGAUUAUGCCUAUUGCUUCGGAGUUUGAGCCAGAGUUUGUCUUAGUAUCAGCUGGCUUUGAUGUCCGUGGGGAAGGCCAUGACAUUCUCCUCUAGGAGGGAUACAAAGUGACAGCAAAAAUGUUUUGGUCAUCUCAUCAAACAGCUGUUGACACUAGCAAAUGGUCGCAUGGUGCUGGCUCUGGAGGGAGGCCAUGAUCUUAAUGCCAUCUGUGAUGCAUCAGAAGCCUGCCUGAAUGCUCUGCUAGGAAAUGAGCUGGAGCCCCUCCCUGAAAAGGUUCUCCACCAGACUCCUAAUGUGAACGCAAUGAUUUCUUUGCAGAAGACCACUGAAAUACACAGUAAGUACUGGAAGUCUGUGAAGCCUUACAUUGUGCCAGUUAGCUGUAAGCUGUCUGAGACUCAAAAACAGGAGAGAGAGGAAACAGAGGCAGUAUCGGCAAUGGCCUUACUCUCCGUGGACGUUGAAUGUAGCAGAGCUGCUGGCGAGCCUAUGGAAGAAGAGCCAGUCUUGUGAAGUGCCAAGUCCUCCCCUCUGAUAUUUCCUGUCUGUGACAUCAUUGUGUAUCCCCCCCCCCCUUCCCCAAUCACCCUUAGACGUGUCUUGUCUGCUGCCUGGGUGGCACAGAUCAGAUGGAACAUAAACACUGGGCACAAAAUUCUGAACAGCAGCCUCGCUUGUUCGUUGGAUGGACUUAAAAGAGCCGUCCGAGACUCCUUCAAUGUAACCGCUAUAAUUCUAGAGUUACAGUAAACCAGACCUUGCAAAAGAGACAGCCUUGAGCGUGCUUUUGUAAGCUGCGUGAUCCACUCGCCGACUUCAAUGGUAGAAUAGAAAUAUUGAAAGUAAUUUGGCAUUCUUGACUACAGUUGCUUAUAAAAAUGGGAACAGCCCGCAAGCUUGGGGAAGGAGAGAAAAAAAACAAAAACUUCACAAACUGUAGCACUUGGAGAUUCUGUACACAUUUUACUGGAUCGAGGUUUUUUUUCCAUACUGUUAAAAAUAGUUCCUAGGAUCGGUUUCCUUAGUGUUUGUAAUGUUAUAAAAUGUCAGGUCAUUCCUUUAUGAUAGCAUUUGAAUAGAUGCUGUAGCAAUUAAUGCUCUGGAAAGAAUUGGUCGGGAGGUUGGUUAAAAGCGAACUUUGCUCCACAGUUUUCCAAACCGAACUUUGUUAAGUGGCUCUCCGACUCAGUCCCUUUUGUGUUUUGAGUUCCCUCUUUAAUGUGGCCUUUUGUAACACUCGCAACAAAACGCACUCUGCAAGCAGCAAGGGAUGGUUUGUUUUUUGUCAGAUGCUGCACAAUCUGGAGCACACACUAGCAGCUUAUGGAUCAAGGAAUUUCAGUGGGCACCCUUAAAACUGAUUGUUGUCCCUUAUCUGAUUUAACCUCACUUUAAAUUCUGUGUGUGUUCAAAGAGAGGUAAAUAUAGGGAAUCCUCCUGAGGUCUGCUAAAAUCUCAGGUGCUUCUGUAGAACUGGACUGAAAUGUUAGUUACUCUUUUCCGCCGAGACCAAUUGAAUGGGAGGGGGGGAUUAGUGUUGGUGUUUAAUAUUAAGAAGAUUGAAAAGAGCUCUGCCUGUUUUUAUUUUCCUCUUUCAAACGUAAGUAUGAUUGUGAUGCAAGUAACUUCAGAUCUAAGGGAGUCACUGAAGGGUUGUGCCUUUUACUGAUCAUGAACGCUUCAAUUCUCACACGUGUUGCCUUAUUGUCACAGAAGGGAAAGGGGCUGUGGGGGUGACUCAGAGCCUUUUAAGGGGCACAAAUAGUGACAUAGGAAUGAAAGUAGAACUCAACAUAUUAUCUCCUGCCAGCCUUUCUACGUUGCAUUACAGUCAUCUUUCUUUUGAGCAGUAAGCGAUGCUCUUGGUUUAUAUAUUUUUCAAGCUCAAAGGAUAUAUUAAAGCCAUAAGUGAACAUUGUCAUGCUUUUUAUUCAGAAAUCUGAAAGGAACCUUAAUUAAAACAAGGUUUGGAGAAAGCCAUGGUAUGAAAGAUAUGGUACAAUAUGGUUCCAGUUAUACCAGACUCGAACCUGUAAAUCACAGAUGAAAGAUUUCACUGAAAUAGAAUUAUAUAAUUCUCUUUUGUUAUAUAGGCGGUCUUCAUUCUCCCUCCCCCCCCCCAUGUGUUUGGGUUUGUUUACAAUUAGUGUCUUAAUUGAAAAUACUUUUUACCGCUAUAUGGAAACUGCCUGAUAUAUCUCAGAAGUUUGAGACAGUCUUUGAAAUAACUAGUCAGGAGGAGAAUUUAACCUAGUUGAACGUGACACUGUCUUUUGUUUUGAACUUCUUAUGAUGAAAUAGAUACUUACAAUUAAUUAUUAGAAAAAUCAAAUCUUACUCAACAUUUAUCACCCAAUUCCUGUUUUCCUGACUAAUCAAAGCAAGAUGAAGAACUUAAAACUUUCAAAGGACACAUAAUAUUUGGUCCUUUGAUAUCAAUAGGGUUACAUCUGCAAGUGAAGCAGUAUAUUCUGAAAACUUGCCAGAGUGAUCCGACUUGACAAGUUACUCCAGUUGUCCAAUAAUCAUCCUAUAAACUGUGUUUCAUAUUAAAAACCGCCAUGCCUGGUGGUGUUUAUUAUUUAAGUUUCAUGAGUUAAACUAAUUUGGCAUCAUAUUUUAAAAUGGCAGUGCUGAAAACUUCACUUUGUAGUUAUAAAACCCAUUUUCUUUUUUGAAGCCUGAGUUAAAAUGAAUGCUUGAGUGGAAAUAUGAACAAUGAAUCCAUACUGAUUUAACUUGGUAUUUAAAAUGAGGAAAUGUGCAGAUUUGUGCUGGAUAGCUUAGCGCAAAAUGGAACCAAAAAUAAAAUAAAGCUGUACUCCUGCGUAUGCUUGGGAAUAAGCCCUGUUGAACUCAACGGAACUGCUUGCUGAGUGACAAGCACCUAAGAGGGAUGGAAAUUAAACUCAGUUUCAGUCAUGUGAUACGUUAUUCUUUUUGCCUAUAUGAAAUCCAAGCGAUGUUAAAAGAACAGCACAAAUAAUUUGUUGAGUAGAGAUGAGCCGAGAAAAAAAAAGCAUCAGCUAAUAAUCAUUACUUUAUUCUCAAACUGGUAUUACGUAGCUUCCCUUUGCUAGAGGCUUAGUAUUGGUAUGUUCAUUACUAAAGGCAGCAGAAAAAUGACCAUCCAUUUCAAGUGUUCAUCCCCAGGACAUCAGACAAUAAAUGCCUAUUGAUGAAGUGGCAAAUUUUGCUUAUAUUUAAAUGUCACGUGCUGCUUCCAAGAGGUCAGUACUGAUGAACUGCUAGGAAAAGUGGUGAGGCAAAUACUUUUCCUGAUCUUCAGAUGCAAUGCUUGGACUUCGAGAAGCCACUUUACAUAAACCCAAGAGCUUGGUCGCGCCACGUGAAGUUUUUUUUACCUUUUCUUUCAAAAGAUAUGUGCACGUCCGCACACACACAAACAGCAUUCUCCAUCACAAACUACUUUUGAAGCUCCCUUCAAGAUGAUCCCGUGAGGUCUGGGGGCCAUCUGUUUCAGAAAUGCAAGCCCAAAUCUGCCUUAGAUGCACAUAUUUCUUUGGAUCCAGGCCAGGAAGCUCUUGGUCUUUUACAUCUGCUGCAGUACAUUUAUAUUGGUGCACUCAUAAGAGCUCAGUUUGUUCUGUAGGACUAUGGAAGGAGAGGACAUUGGCAGUUACUCGAACGUUCAGAUCUCUGGGCUUCAAAUUUAACCAGCUUUUUAAUGCUGUACCUGCCAAGUCAUGCAAAGAAGAAACUUAAGCAGAAGAGGAAAACCUCAGGUGGCAGGAUUUUUUAAAGCCCUAAGCUUCCAAUCUAGCUAGAAUUGCAACUGAAAAUGUCCUACGUAUCCUUAUUUGUGGAUCCCAUUAAAAUGUGGGUAACUUUUGUAUAUUGGAUCAGACUGUGUGUUCAAUGUAAAGAAACGGGGCUUCAGUCGCAACUUGCUCAUUCCAUUGGUUCUAACACAAAUUAGUCAUGGUUAACUUGAACUGGAUUGUAACUUCUAUCUUUUACUACUAAGUAGGACAGCUAGGUAGGGAGAGGUGUUAAAAGACUCAGUUAUGUUGAAUAUGUUAUUUCAUGUUUUUAACAGUUUGCUACAACACUAACAUAGUACUAUCAGACAAAAAAAGUGCUGGAUAUAUUAAAAUCAAACUAUUUCACAGUUAACAAUAAGACCCAGUGACUUUCAUAAGUAGAAGGUUCCUUCUUCUUCCAACAAUAUAUACUCAAGUUCCAAGAGGGGAAAACAUUCCUCGGAACUCUGUUGCUAGUGUAGGUGGCCGAUAAUUCUUCUGUGCUGAAACGCACAGAUUCUCUCUCUAAAUUUUAAGGUCUUCCCAAUGGUAUUCAUUACAUUCCAGGCUGACGUGAACAUCUGCAACAGUGGAAUCAUGUUGAGCCUUGUCCAAAUUCAUCUGAAGCCAACUAAGGCUGGAGACAGGCUUUUUAAGAGAGUUGAAAAUGACAGGAGAUUAGAUACAUGCACACGUAUCUCAUACGUUCAGCUGUUGUUUUUGGUCAAGCUUAUGUUGGAAACAAAUCCCAAACCUGUUUUUUUUAAAAACCCUGUUUAAGCAGCCACCUCUCUUUCAAGUUGCUUUCAGAACUGAAAAUACAAUCAUCUAACUUUCGCCCUGCAAGUCGAGAGCUGUCUGCAGGGCUGCGGCAUGUGAGUGAAUGAGUUAAACCUAAAUGCAGGAACUUGGGGAAGCGUUCAGAUAGAGCCAGUAAAGCAGAAUUGAAGGCUGACUAUGCAUAGCAGUGGCAUAGCUUCCCUUUCUAUCUCUGGAACGUCUCCACAAACUCAGGUUAAAGUUUGAAUCGUUACAAAGAAAAUAAGAAAUAAUUCUCCUCCUCUUUUUGCUCGCUGCUAGCAAGUUUCACCAUUUUAAAAUAUGAUGCCACAAUUGAAAACAAUCCACUCACUGUGUGCUAGCAUAAGGCAAUUUCCUUUCUUUCAACAAUUUGCCUCUGUAUAACUGAUAAAUGUGUCUUAUUUCUAAUCUCAUUCUUGCCCAACCCACUUGCUUGCUGUCUGUGCUUACACAUUAUAAUCUCAAGUUGAAUGCAAAACCAUCAAAUUAUGCUCUGCAACUCGUGGUUUCUCACUUUCAUCAUAAGGAUAGCCUAAUUGGGGGGAAAAGACCUUGCCUAUUAAUUAAAUGUAUUAUUACAAUUCCUAAGGGGCCAAAAUUCUUCUUGCUAGAAAGGUUCACACAGAAGAACCGUAUGGAAGGGAAGAACCAGUGAACCAUUAUUCUAAUUAUUAUAGUAAUCCUGAUACAUUUUCAGUAUCUAAAAGCAUCUCAUGAGUAAUUCAGGGUCAUCAUUGUGCUCCGUAAUCUUUGCCUGUUGUAAAUAUGUUCACUUUGGAAACGCUUGAAGUAGUCUUCAAUCAGGUUGAACAAAUUUCCUUUGCUCUUGUGUUUUGAAUAAUUAUUUGGCUACAUUCUGGUCCAUGUGUGCAUUAAAGAACCCUGGUUUGAAAUAGA